GUGGGGAAUAUUGGACAAUGGGGGGAACCCUGAUCCAGCCAUGCCGCGUGUGUGAAGAAGGCCUUAUGGUUGUAAAGCACUUUAAGCGAGGAGGAGGCUCUUCUAGUUAAUACCUAGGAUGAGUGGACGUUACUCGCAGAAUAAGCACCGGCUAACUCUGUGCCAGCAGCCGCGGUAAUACAGAGGGUGCGAGCGUUAAUCGGAUUUACUGGGCGUAAAGCGUGCGUAGGCGGCUUUUUAAGUCGGAUGUGAAAUCCCCGAGCUUAACUUGGGAAUUGCAUUCGAUACUGGGAAGCUAGAGUAUGGGAGAGGAUGGUAGAAUUCCAGGUGUAGCGGUGAAAUGCGUAGAGAUCUGGAGGAAUACCGAUGGCGAAGGCAGCCAUCUGGCCUAAUACUGACGCUGAGGUACGAAAGCAUGGGGAGCAAACAGG
rnacentral:rRNA from 1 species